UUCUGGCUAAGUCCGGAUUCAUCAAUCUCUUUACCCGCUGUUUUAAUUUCAUGUCGGAAAUGCUUGAUGUUCUUAUAAGUUUUGUUUCAGAUUUCAUAUUGCUUGGAGUAAUAUCUUCGUUGUUUAUUCCUCUUGUUCAUACCAGAGCAACGAUGGACACAGAUGAGAUCAAUAGACUGGGUCUAAUCGGCGACAGAGCAUCCGUGAAGUUUCAGAUUGGAAUAAAGCUUUGAAGCUGUUUGGUAACAGCUUGUUUCAUUCCGGCAACUAUGUUUCAGGACUGAAGAUCGGCAGGCUUAGAUGUUACACAAGCAUGGAGGUUGUUGGAGUAAUUGAAGUAAAAGCUGGUGGUGGUGAACAGUCACGGCGGUGAAGUCAGCAAUGUUCAACUGAAGCUGGUGACAACAUAAGAGAUGACUCAUCUCUCUUAUUCCUAGAAACAGACAUGUGGCUGUGAUAUUUACUCGUGUUUGAUACUGAAGCUGUAAUAUAAUUUUUCUAUGUGGUGUUUCUGGGCCUAUAUAUAUUACGUGUAUCCAUUAUGAGUUUCAUAAUGAAAUGAAUGGCCGACAAAAAAAAAAGUAACUUCAACCUUAAACCAUACCUCUUAGAGUAUUUUCAAAUCUCUCAUGAAGUUUUUAACAUUUUUUAAAUAAUAUAAUUUU
rnacentral:lncRNA from 1 species